GACGAACGCUGGCGGCGUGCUUAAACAUGCAAGUCGAACGGAAAGGCCCUGCUUUUGUGGGGUGCUCGAGUGUAGAACGGGUGAGUAACACGUGAGUAACCUGCCCUUGCCUUUGGGGUAACUUCAGGAAACUGGGGCUAAUACCGGAUAGGAGCUCCUGCUGCAUGGUGGGGGUUGGAAAGUUUCGGCGGUUGGGGAUGGACUCGCGGCUUAUCAGCUUGUUGGUGGGGUAGUGGCUUACCAAGGCUUUGACGGGUAGCCGGCCUGAGAGGGUGACCGGCCACAUUGGGACUGAGAUACGGCCCAGACUCCUACGGGAGGCAGCAGUGGGGAAUAUUGCACAAUGGGCGGAAGCCUGAUGCAGCAACGCCGCGUGCGGGAUGACGGCCUUCGGGUUGUAAACCGCUUUCGCCUGUGACGAAGCGUGAGUGACGGUAAUGGGUAAAGAAGCACCGGCUAACUACGUG
rnacentral:rRNA from 1 species